AGAGUUUGAUCAUGGCUCAGAUUGAACGCUGGCGGCAGGCCUAACACAUGCAAGUCGAGCGGAUGAAGGGAGCUUGCUCCUGGAUUCAGCGGCGGACGGGUGAGUAAUGCCUAGGAAUCUGCCUGGUAGUGGGGGAUAACGUCCGGAAACGGGCGCUAAUACCGCAUACGUCCUGAGGGAGAAAGUGGGGGAUCUUCGGACCUCACGCUAUCAGAUGAGCCUAGGUCGGAUUAGCUAGUUGGUGGGGUAAAGGCCUACCAAGGCGACGAUCCGUAACUGGUCUGAGAGGAUGAUCAGUCACACUGGAACUGAGACACGGUCCAGACUCCUACGGGAGGCAGCAGUGGGGAAUAUUGGACAAUGGGCGAAAGCCUGAUCCAGCCAUGCCGCGUGUGUGAAGAAGGUCUUCGGAUUGUAAAGCACUUUAAGUUGGGAGGAAGGGCAGUAAGUUAAUACCUUGCUGUUUUGACGUUACCAACAGAAUAAGCACCGGCUAACUUCGUGCCAGCAGCCGCGGUAAUACGAAGGGUGCAAGCGUUAAUCGGAAUUACUGGGCGUAAAGCGCGCGUAGGUGGUUCAGCAAGUUGGAUGUGAAAUCCCCGGGCUCAACCUGGGAACUGCAUCCAAAACUACUGAGCUAGAGUACGGUAGAGGGUGGUGGAAUUUCCUGUGUAGCGGUGAAAUGCGUAGAUAUAGGAAGGAACACCAGUGGCGAAGGCGACCACCUGGACUGAUACUGACACUGAGGUGCGAAAGCGUGGGGGCAAACAGGAUUAGAUACCCUGGUAGUCCACGCCGUAAACGAUGUCGACUAGCCGUUGGGAUCCUUGAGAUCUUAGUGGCGCAGCUAACGCGAUAAGUCGACCGCCUGGGGAGUACGGCCGCAAGGUUAAAACUCAAAUGAAUUGACGGGGGCCCGCACAAGCGGUGGAGCAUGUGGUUUAAUUCGAAGCAACGCGAAGAACCUUACCUGGCCUUGACAUGCUGAGAACUUUCCAGAGAUGGAUUGGUGCCUUCGGGAACUCAGACACAGGUGCUGCAUGGCUGUCGUCAGCUCGUGUCGUGAGAUGUUGGGUUAAGUCCCGUAACGAGCGCAACCCUUGUCCUUAGUUACCAGCACCUCGGGUGGGCACUCUAAGGAGACUGCCGGUGACAAACCGGAGGAAGGUGGGGAUGACGUCAAGUCAUCAUGGCCCUUGCGGCCAGGGCUACACACGUGCUACAAUGGUCGGUACAAAGGGUUGCCAAGCCGCGAGGUGGAGCUAAUCCCAUAAAACCGAUCGUAGUCCGGAUCGCAGUCUGCAACUCGACUGCGUGAAGUCGGAAUCGCUAGUAAUCGUGAAUCAGAAUGUCACGGUGAAUACGUUCCCGGGCCUUGUACACACCGCCCGUCACACCAUGGGAGUGGGUUGCUCCAGAAGUAGCUAGUCUAACCGCAAGGGGGACGGUUACCACGGAGUGAUUCAUGACUGGGGUGAAGUCGCAACAAGGUA
rnacentral:rRNA from 1 species